rnacentral:rRNA from 1 species
UCUGACCUCAAAUCAGGUAGGAUUACCCGCUGAACUUAAGCAUAUCAAUAAGCGGAGGAAAAGAAACUAACAAGGAUUCCCUUAGUAACUGCGAGUGAAGUGGGAAAAGCUCAAAUUUAAAAUCUGGCAGUCUGAUUUUUUAUCUUUGGCUGUCCGAGUUGUAAUCUAGAGAAGUGCUACCUGUACUGGA